GAAUUACAUUUGUUUGAUUUAGGGAUUUUGGAUAUAAAUGCAUGCAACCAUACUAAAUUUCCUAAGUUUGUCAUUUGUAAUUUCAAUUAUGCCACAUAUAAACAUCAUGUUAUUAGAAAAGCCACCAGACAAACUUAAAAAUGGUCCAAAAAUGAAAUCUAAAAAUAUGAAAAAUAAUAGUAAUUUCAUUUUGCAAAUGAAAGGUGUCAAAUUGCUUUUUAAAUUAUGAAGAAUUUAAAACAUUUCCUAGACAGAUAGUCUUCCAUAAAGUUGUAUCUGCCUCUUAAUUCAAUGAUUAUUUAUUAAGAUCCUGUUGGCGGUCUCUGCAGAUAGAACUGGGGCAUAAAAUGAACAUCAAGAACCUAUUUCCAUAAAGAACCUACUCUUGGCUUACUAUGAUUAUUUUUAACCUUUCAUUUUUAUUGAUAACAUGAAACAUAGUAGCAGUAAAAGAUUUUGUGCUAUAAGAGAUUUCAGAAGUAUAAGCACCUUAUUUUAGCCCAGAGAAAGUGAAGUGAAGUGCCCAGUCACUUCAGGAAUUAGUUAUAUUGGUACUGGCAAUCUGGUCUGGAGUUCUUUUCAACUAUGCCAGUUACCAACUAGGUACUAAUUGAAUCAACAGGGUUCUUCUGGGAAAUAAAUCUCUAUAAAGCAGCCUAGAAAAAGCACCAUGCAUGUAGUAACAAGUGUUUAAAAAUCAGGCUCCUUCUUUUCCCACAAACCAUCAUUUCCAGCUGCACAGUGUUGUCAAUCAUUUUUUCAAGAACCCAGGCUGGAAAACUUGGGAGUCACUCAUGGCUACUCUUUCUCUUUACAUUCAAGUCAAUUAUUGCUCAAUUCUUUUCCAAUGCUUCUUUUCCAUUUUCACAGGUACCAGUUAAGUCCAAGUUCUUAUUAUUUCCAGUCUGGAUAACUGCAGGUGUCUCUCAGCUGAUUCAGCAGUCUGAAUUUCUCCCUCAAUCAAGAAGCUGGACACGAUCAUUUCAAAGAAAGAAGUUAUGAAGAGGUUUGAAUGUCAAACAGCGGAUUUUAUAUUUGAUCCUGGAGGCAACAAGUGAGUACAGGGGAAGCGUGUGGAGGGAGAAAGAAAAAAGGGAGAAGGGCUGUCAGAUGGCUAGAGUUCAGCUUUAGGAAUCACUUUGGUGUCUGGAAUGAAGGAUGGACAGGGGUGGGUUAUGACCUGAGAAAGACAGAUCUAUCCAGCAGGGUGUAACAGGACAAGUGUGAGGUGAUAAGAACCUGCUCUAGAGUGGUGGUAUCAGAGAAGAAAGGGCACAUUUGAAAAAUGCUAACUAUGUGGAGUGAGAGACAGUGACAUCUAGAACGAGAGCCUGAAAGAUGGAAGAUUAAGCUGCCCUUGAUAGUAAUAGAAAAGUGAGGAAAAGAGGAGAGUUUGAAGGAAAGAUCAUGAGUUCAAUUUUGGAAAGGAACUUGCAAUCUAAUGGGUGAAAAGUUCAUGAUUGAUUUAAGAUGUCUAUAGGACAUCCAGAUCUGAAAGGCUGCUGGAGUGAGACUGGAGAUCAGCAGAGAGGUCAGGAGAAGAUAAACAUAUUUGAGAAUCAUCACCAUAGAGAAAAUAAUUGCAAGGUAUACAAAUAUGCUGAGGAAAGUGGGAUAAUAAGUUCAUAAGGAAGGUGUAGAAGAGUUGUACAGGGGCAAUAAGGGCCCAAGUGAGGUUGUCUGACAUAAAUUUGUAAAGUACUCAGUUGAAGAGUUGAAUGAUUUUCUCUACUUAUGUUCAACAGCAUAUGUAUAGGAAUAAAUGUGACAAAUGGUGAGAAUGAUCCUUGGCUGGGCAUAAUCAGAGAUAUGACUGGGACAGGGGUGAAGGGUGGACAGGGGUAGACAGGGGAGGACAGGGUUUCAAGAAAAGCUGACAGAAUUGGGCUGAACUUGGUUCAGGGGUCAAGAUGGGGAAAAGAUAACAGAGUGGAAAGUGCAGAGGAGAUGGCCUGGAAAAGAACUAAAAGGUUAAAGUAUUGGAGGUCAAAGGGUGGAUAAAGAAUGAAGUAUGGUAAGGGAAAACAGAGAAAGAGCUGGAGAGCCAACAGAAUAUAGUCAGAUAAAAAGAUUUUAGUAUUCCUAAACAUAGAGACAUUAUAUCUAUGAGUGAUGGCAAAAUCAAGGGUAUGAGCAGCUUUGUGUGUAGGUGAGGUAGCAUGGAGUGAUAGCUCAAAGAAUUAAGUUUGUUAAGGAAUUGAGUAGUUAAGAGUGUUUGGAGGAGAAUCAGUGUAUAUGUUCAAGUCCCCUGGUAUGAGGGCACGAGUUGAAGAGGAGAAAAAAAAUUGCAUCCUUGGUCUAAGUGGUCAGACCUAGAGCAAACAGAGAAAGCAGCUGAAGUCUACCAUCACAUCCAAAGUAAAGAGUGAAUGUACCUUGAAAUAUAACUUAAUGCCCGUCAAAGUUCUGUCUUUAUUAAAUAAGGUUUCUAUUAAUGGAAUUUGUAGCUGGAAUUCAAUUUCUCUACUGAAAUAUUACUGUAAAGUCAAAAAGGAGUUUUAUUUUGAGAUUUUUGUUUGGAAUUUGUAUAAUCUCCUAAGAGAACAUGGGCAAUACCAAUUAAGGAAAGGUUAUAAAAAUUAUAAUGCAUGAUUAUAAAAAUAUAUUUUUUGUAUCAAUUCAAAUGACAAUUAUUAAGAAUUCAAAUAAGUAUGGCAAGACUAUAUAUGAUAUGAUAUAGAGGAAAACAAGCAGAACAAGAGGGGAAAUGAUAUAGAAAACUAUAAUGUAAAUGAAAGAAUAAAAGAAUUCAAUUCUGGGUAUUAUAAUGAUUUGUUGGGAGUUCAAAUGUGGGGUCCCUGUUCGGGCGCCAAAAUGUGGUGAGCUUUUUCUUCUCAAAACACAGCCAGGUGAUAAAAGUUCAGAUCUUUUAUUAUCUCCAAUAUAGCCCAGUUAGCUUAGAGGUCUAUCUCUCUGCUUGGUUCCAAGAGCUCCCUCCGAAUGUCGCCAAAUCCAAAGGUCUUGUCCUUCAGCCUCUGCCUCUGCCUCUGCUUUCUUCAGCCUCCAACCAGCACAGAGAUGGAAUGAAUCUCUUGUCUCCUUCACUUGGGGCUCGGCUAGCUUUCUGGUGAGUCUUUCAGACCAGCUUGGUCUCAGUGGGGGAAGUGCAGGAGCCCAGCCACCAACUACAGUGGUGUGAGAUGAAGAUGAAUCUGGUUGUCCACUGAACUCUCCACUCGUAGCUUCUUCCUCUGAAAACUCUUUCUUCUGCCACCAGCCAGCCAAAUGGAAAAUAUUCUCCUUGCCUCGGAGAGAGGGCUUCUGGCGUAAUUCCGCUGAAAUCUCUCAAAGUGCUCUCUGUCUGCACCAGAGUUGCUCCUCUCCAGUCCAGCUGAACUCUCUUCUGCGACCAGCCAGCCAAGUGGAAAAUAUAUUCUGGAAUAGCUCUCUCUUCAUUGGCCUUAUAUGUGAAUCUUCUGAGAGAAUGGGAUUAUGGGUUUUCUCCCAUAGUGCUCUCUGGCCCAAAGAGCUUUAAGGGAGGUGUGAACACAAAGGUGUAAACACAAGCAUUGUAAUUAGUUCUACUUAGUACCUUGUUUCAGGUUCUGGCCAAAAUCUUCUUGUAAGAUUAGAUCAACUCUAAUUAGUUAGCAGUUUGUAAGGAUUCCAACAUCGAUUCAUACUGGGGCCUAAAAGAAAGGUUGAGAACAUGUGUCUCCCUUCCUCUACUUUGCAAAGAUAAGAGACUACAUGUACAGAAUGUGGACUAUAUGCUCAGACAUGACUGAUAUGUUCAAUGGCUCUGUUCAACUGCUUGUUUGUUUAAAUUUGUUAUAAGGGAUGUUUGCUGGGCAGAGGAAGCAGGGAGGGAUACAUUUAGAAAUGAAGAUUAAAUAAAACCAAAAACUAUCAACGAAAACAAUAAUUUUAAAAAGGUAGCACGGGAAAAACCAGGUUAAAAACAUUAUUUCUCUUAAACUCUCCCAAAUGUACAUUCAAGUAUAAUAUUUAUUUUAGCUUUGAUAUUUAUAGACUCAAGGCCAUCUCAGAUAAUUCAGGAAUUGAAUGGUAUAAAGUUUAUCAGUAAUCUUUACUUCUCCCUAUCCCCUAGGGGUGUGUGUGUGUGU